UGUAAUGUAUUUAAUUCAACCCUACUAGGACUCUGGGCAGAAUACCUACCAAGCCACUCAAACAUGCUUUUUGGGCCUCUAUUAUUACAAUGAUGGGCCAAACAGAAUUGGUGUGUCAGAAUUAAUAUCCUAUUUCUGUCUCUUAUAGGUUAUGGCACUUUCUUAUGAAAAUUCAAAGAAGUGUGUUAAUGCCAUUGUUCCUUUGAAUGCCAAGUUAACUUUGAAUGCAAUGAAUGCCAACUUAACCUUGAAUGCCAUGAAUGCUAACUUAUCUUUGAAUGCUAUGAACACCAACUUGUCUUUGAAUGCUUAUAUUUGGCUUCACUUUUCCGUCGCACCCUACAUUGUCCCCAUUUUCUCCACAGGCCGGCAGGCGGAGUGAACGCCUGAGUAGGCGUCUUGUUUGCUAUCAAUAUCUAACCCUAAUAAUGUAG